rnacentral:rRNA from 1 species
UGGGGGAUAUUGCACAAUGGGCGAAAGCCUGAUGCAGCGACGCCGCGUGGGGGAUGAAGGCCUUCGGGUUGUAAACUUCUUUUGCUCUGAACAAGGCGCACCAUGGGGUGUGUUGAGUGUAGGGGUUGAUUAGCGCCGGCUAGCUACGUGCCAGCAGCCGCGGUAAUACGUAGGGCGCGAGCGUUGUCCGGAAUUAUUGGGCGUAAAGGGCUUGUAGGUGGCUGGUUGCGUCUGUGGGGAAAGCUCAUGGCUUAACUGUGGGGUUGCGGUGGGUACGGGCUGGCUUGAGUGCAGUAGGGGAGGCUGGAAUUCCUGGUGGAGCGGUGGAAUGCGCAGAUGUCAGGAGGAAUACCGGUGGCGAAGGCGGGUCUCUGGGCUGUUACUGACACUGAGGAGCGAAAGCAUGGGGAGCGAACAGG